rnacentral:rRNA from 1 species
AACGAACGCUGGCGGCGUGUUUAAGACAUGCAAGUCGCACGGGACUAUUUGAGUAGCAAUACAAGGAUAGUUUCGUGGCGCACGGGUGAGUAACACGUGAAUUACAUGCCCUGCAGAGGGGGAUAGCCCAGGGAAACUUGGAUUAAUACCCCAUGGUAUCGCGAGAUUAAAGGUGGCCACAAGGCUGUCGCUGCAGGAUUGGUUCGCGCCCUAUCAGCUUGUUGGUGAGGUAACGGCACACCAAGGCUACGACGGGUACCGGGUCUGAGAGGACCAUCAGGUACACGGGAACGGAGACACGGUCCAGACACCUACGGGUGGCAGCAGUCGAGAAUAAUUCACAAGGGGGGCAACCCUGAUGGUGCAACGCCGCGUGGAGGAUGAAGGUCUUCGGAUUGUAAGCUCCUGUCAUCCGGGAGUAAGACCUGGCGAUGAAUAGUCGACAGGGUUGAUAGUACCGGAAGAGGAAGGGACGGCUAACUUCGUGCCAGCAGCCGCAGUAA